AUAUUCUCAGUUUGUCUGGGGAACUGCUUGCUGCCAAAGUUGUUCAGCAUUGGAUACUUCAGAUCCUUGUUUAUGUUCUGAUG